UACGAAGGGGGCUAGCGUUGCUCGGAAUGACUGGGCGUAAAGGGCGCGUAGGCGGCUUGCAGAGUCGGACGUGAAAUUCCUGGGCUUAACCUGGGGGCUGCGUUCGAUACCUGCAGGCUGGAGUGAGGAAGAGGGUCGUGGAAUUCCCAGUGUAGAGGUGAAAUUCGUAGAUAUUGGGAAGAACACCUGUGGCGAAAGCGGCUCACUGGACCAUAACUGACGCUGAUGCACGAAAGUUAGGGGAGCAAACAGG
rnacentral:rRNA from 1 species